UUUCAGUGUGACCUGAAAAUAUACUUCUAGCUGCUAUCCUGUUGAGCUGCACCUGAUGAAGAUGUGGUGUAAUUGUGGUAAGUGUACGUACUGUAUGCCAGAGCUGCGGUGCAGUAGUUACCACAGGUCAUCCAGUUUUGAGUGUUGUCCUGACCCUACUCCUCUUUGCCUUUCAUUUCCUGUCUCUCUCUGCUGUAUCUAUCCAGAAAAUAGAGAAAACAAUGAAAAAAGAAGGUAAUUAUGUUCACAGCACAAAUGGAUCUUAUGUCUUAAAUGAUGUAGUACAUGAAUGUGUAUGUGCUGAGGGGAGAAAAGGACCAGAGCCGUGAUACCAGAGAGCCCUGUUCGCUGGGGACAUACAGAUGGAAAUAGAUCCGCCAGCCACUUUAUGACUUUUUCUAAUGCCCCUUCAGCGGAGAAAGAAAAAAGGUCUCUCCCUGUUCUCUCUUUCACUCUUUUUCAGAUUCACAUAAAGUCUGAGAUAUUUGAUGAUUUAUGGGGAGAGGAAGAGAGGAAGAGAAAGAAAUGGAGAGAGGGAGGGGGCGCAGUGGCAAGGGGGUUCAAACAUGAUGCAAACCAUUUGGAGGAGAGAGAGGAGGCUGCCAGCACAGCCUGCUCUGUUUAAACUGGGGAGGAAGUGACCGUAUAUACAGCAUGCCAGCAACCUCGCUCUCCCCUCGAACACACACACACUAUCAGUGCUGAGGUCAGUCGCUGGCCAUUGGCUGCGGAUUGUGUUUGUUAUUAUUAUAUUGUGUUUCUUUACAUCACCGCUGAGGCCACCGCCGCCGUUAUUAUCCUUGUUCUUAUUAUUACAAUCUAUGAGGCUUGGGGGCAAACAUGAGGGCAAGGAUAAAGGAGCACAAGGAGAUGAGGGAGACGAGGAAGAAGAAGAUGGGACGGAAAAAUACAAGACAGAGCAUGAGGGAGGAUGAGAGUCAUCUUCUCCGAUGCAUUCCAGCCCAGAGCGGAGCAGAGCAGAGCGCAGCGCGAGGAGAAGGAGAGAGGGAGGCUGUGCAAGGCCGGGAACACAGAGCAGCGGCCGGAGGGAUGUUUAGAUAGGUGCAGGCUGCCACUAGGAAGUCCGGGCUCCAAUAUAAACAUGCAGCCACACAGCCCAGCGCUCACGACUGUGGGAGAAACCUGCCCCCAGCCGCCUGAAAGAGUGAGAGAGAUAGAGGGAGGAUGGGUACACGGCCACUUUCAAAUCCUUGUGGAGUAUAUACACAGCUGA
ensembl:lncRNA